CACGUAGGGGGCAAGCGUUGUCCGGAUUUAUUGGGCGUAAAGAGCUCGUAGGUGGUUCGGUAAGUCGGGUGUGAAACCUCCAGGCUCAACCUGGGGACGCCACCCGAUACUGCUGUGACUGGAGUCCGGUAGGGGAGCGUGGAAUUCCUGGUGUAGCGGUGAAAUGCGCAGAUAUCAGGAGGAACACCAGCGGCGAAGGCGGCGCUCUGGGCCGGUACUGACACUGAGGAGCGAAAGCGUGGGUAGCAAACAGG
rnacentral:rRNA from 1 species